rnacentral:rRNA from 1 species
CCUACGGGAGGCUGCAGUGAGGAAUAUUGGUCAAUGGACGCAAGUCUGAACCAGCCAUGCCGCGUGCAGGAUGACGGCCCUAUGAGUUGUAAACUGCUUUUGUACGAGGGUAAACGCCGAUACGUGUACCGGGUUGAAAGUAUCGUACGAAUAAGGAUCCGCUAACUCCGUGCCAGCAGCCGCGGUAAUACGGAGGAUCCGAGCGUUAUCCGGAUUUAUUGGGUUUAAAGGGUGCGCAGGCGGUUUGAUAAGUGAGAGGUGAAAUGGCGGGGCUCAACCCCGACACUGCCUUUAAUACUGUUGGACUAGAGAGCAGUAGCGGUAGGCGGAAUGUAUGGUGUAGCGGUGAAAUGCUUAGAGAUCACACAGAACACCGAUUGCGAAGGCAGCUUACCAACCUACAUCUGACGUUGAGGCACGAAAGCGUGGGUAGCAAACAGGAUUAGAUACCCGGGUAGUC